GCCAGGCAGCGCCCGCCACGGGACCCGCCGGGAAACGGCCCCUGGUUUGGAAAGCUGCACAGCAGGAUUUUCCCGUGCGCUGCUCUUCUUCCCUGCCUCUGAAACGUUUCUUUUUCGAUUGCUGCUAACAACAGGCUUGAGCGGGCCCCGGAGAAGCUCGUGAGGUUCAAAAUACGGAAGGACAAGGUGUAGCACCUGGGAAUGGCGACCCCUGCUACCAAUGCCUGACAGGGGAUGUAAGGAUGGAGCGCAGCUCCGCUGGAAAGGACUUGGGGUACUACUGGUGGAUGGCAGCUGGACAUGAGCCAGCUGUGUGCCCUCACAGCCCAGAAAGCCAGCCGUACCCUGGGCUGCAUCAAAGGAAGCGUGGCCAGCAGGGUGAGGGAGGCGAUCCUGCCCCUCUGCUCUGUGCUGGUGAGGCCUCACCUGGAGCACUGUGUCCAGACGUGGAGUCCUCAGUACAGCAGAGACGUGGAGCUGUUGGAGCGCGUCCAGAGGAGGGCCACAGAAAUGAUCCCAGGGAUGGAACGGUUCUCCUGCGAGGAUAGGCUGAGAGCUGGGGCUGUGCAGCAUGGAGAAGGGGCAGAGCAUUGACAAACAGGAGUAAGUUCAGUGGAGAACUACCAGGAUGGUUGGGGCUGGAACACUUAUCCUGGGAGGAAAGGUGAAGGAACAGGAACUACUCAUCCUUCGAAGGGUCCUCGUGGCAGUUCCCUGUCUAUAGUGAGGCUUCUGAGGAGAUGUUAAGCAAGGCUCUUGACAGUGAUGUGUGCUGGGAGGACAAGAGAAAACAGGGCUAAUUUCAAACAAGAGGCCCAUUCCAUUAGCCUGUCCUGCCUUUCUCUUUCCCAUGAAUUGUGCUCUUUAACAGCCUUUUGUACUGAUCAAAGGACAGAGGCUCAGGAGUUGGGAAGCUGAAGCUCCUGUGAACCACUCUUUCCUGUGGUCUGGGAAAUAACACUGAGCUGCAUCAGAACUUGGCCCCGACUCAAAAGCUUGGGGAGGGAAAAAUAAAACAAAACAACAACAACAAGAAAACAUUGCUGGCCAUCUGUUUCUCCUGGUGUUGAGGCAACAAGUCUCCUUGUCACUACUCUCCAAGAUGCUCUUCAGAGACAGG
ensembl:lncRNA